AUCAUUACCGAGUGAGGGCCCCCGGCCCGACCUCCAACCCCAUGUUUUCCAACCUCUGUUGCCUCGGGGGCGACCCGGCCCCGGCCGGGGCCCCCCGCGGACCUCAACCAAACCCUGCAUAUCUGCGUCUGAGUCAAUUGAUAAAUUCAAUCAAAACUUUCAACAACGGAUCUCUUGGUUCUGGCAUCGAUGAAGAACGCAGCGAAAUGCGAUAAGUAAUGUGAAUUGCAGAAUUCAGUGAAUCAUCGAAUCUUUGAACGCACAUUGCGCCCGGUGGCAUUCCGCCGGGCAUGCCUGUUCGAGCGUCAUUACACCACUCCAGCCUGGCUGGGUAUUGGGCGUCGCGGGGUCCCCGCGCGCCUCGAAGUCUCCGGCCGAGCCGUCCGUCUCAUAAGCGUUGUGAUCUAUCAAGCCGCUUGCGAGCUCGGGGGGCCGUCGCGCCGUUAAACGACCAUCUCAAGGUUGACCUCGGAUCAGG
rnacentral:rRNA from 1 species